GUGGGGAAUAUUGGACAAUGGGCGAAAGCCUGAUCCAGCCAUGCCGCGUGUGUGAAGAAGGUCUUCGGAUUGUAAAGCACUUUAAGUUGGGAGGAAGGGCAGUAAGUUAAUACCUUGCUGUUUUGACGUUACCGACAGAAUAAGCACCGGCUAACUUCGUGCCAGCAGCCGCGGUAAUACGAAGGGUGCAAGCGUUAAUCGGAAUUACUGGGCGUAAAGCGCGCGUAGGUGGUUUUGUAAGUUGGAGGUGAAAGCCCCGGGCUCAACCUGGGAACUGCCUCCAAAACUGCAUGACUAGAGUACGGUAGAGGGUAGUGGAAUUUCCUGUGUAGCGGUGAAAUGCGUAGAUAUAGGAAGGAACACCAGUGGCGAAGGCGACUACCUGGACUGAUACUGACACUGAGGUGCGAAAGCGUGGGGAGCAAACAGGAUUAGAAACCCCGGUAGUCC
rnacentral:rRNA from 1 species